UGUGGGAUAGUGUAAAGGUAACAUAGUAGGCUCAUAACCUACUGAUAGAAGUUCGACUCUUCUUCCCGCUACUCAA
rnacentral:tRNA from 1 species